ensembl:lncRNA
UUUGACUGGGCCCAGGUUCUUUCCCCUGCACCAACAAAUGGCACCAAAAUAGUUCUGCUGAGUCUCAGGCUGGAUCUACACUGCCAUAUAAACAAGUUUCACAAGGCAGUUUAACUGAAUUAUAUGGCAAUGUAGACUCAUAUUUCAUGAGCCACCCCAAUUCUGUGGAACGACCUGCCGGUAGAGCUCUGACACAAGUGAAAAGCUGUCUCUUCCGGCAGCCCUACCCAGACAGUCUUUAAACAUAAAUAUGGCUUUUAAUGCAUGUCCUUUGUGUCAUCUCUGUUUUAUCUAUUUUAAUAUGUAUUUCAUAGAGAUAUGUUUUGGUAUGUAAUUUUUAUGGAGGUACAUUUUAGUGUGUGUAUUUGUGGCAUUUUUGCUGUGUUUAAGUAUUUCAAUUGUUUUGUAGCCACCUCAAGCCAUGAGGAGAGGUGGAUAAGAAAUAAAAUUAUCAUCAUCAUCAUCAUCAACAUCAUCAUCAUCAUCAUAUAAUCCAGUUCAAUGCAGUUAAACUGCAUUCUGAAACUGCAUUAUAUGUCAGUGUAGAUUCAGCUUCAAUGUCCAGAUAGCAGGAAGACAAACCAUUCUGUUGUGAUCACUGGUAAGAUAAAUAUGCUAACCUCAACCACAUGAUUUGUUUUGUACAGGAAACUGAAUUAGCACAUUGGUGGGAAUCAGUCAAUUUUUUUACUUCCACAAAGCUAUGAGUUCACAAGAAGUUAUGGUGUGUGCAAAGAUACAGGAUAGACGAUUUUGUUUUGAAACCUCUAUAGAUCUGAGAAAUGCAACUGAAGAGCUAACCAAAGAAGAGAGAAAAAUUGCAGAAGAUGCCAAGCUGGGGGCCUUGAUGAUCCUGCAGGAUGCCCUGAAGAAGAAAAAACAAGAUGUUGAUGCAGGUGCCUAAAAAACUAGUACUUGAUGAAGAAGAGGGAUGUCGGUUUUGGAUGAAACGUCAUGCAGUAGUGACAGAAGAUCUGGUGAAUAAGCUUAUUGCAGCACUUAGCACAGUGAAAUUUAAGAAAGGCAAAGGAAACUUGGACAGCUCUGUAGACCACAUAAACACCAGUGAACGAAUGAAAAAGGCAGCAAUUAAGAAGGAUAGCAGUGGCAAGGAAGAGUAUUAUGCUUAUGUACAUCCAAAUGAUCUGACAAGAACCAUUUACUUGUGUGAGAUGUUCUGGAAAGCUCAUGAGUACCUUGAAAAAGAUUCCCAGCCAGGCACCCUCAUCCAUGAAGUGUCUCACUUUUUGGGUACAUAUGAUCUCACUUAUGAAGAGAGUACCCUUUUUGCUGGCUGCAAAGGUCACAGAAUAAGAGCCAGCCCAGAAAACAGUUCAUCCUCACAAACAGAAGAAAACAUACGGAAAAUUUUGGAACGCAUUGGACUUUCCUGCAUAAAUAAAUUGAGAUGGCAAGGCAAACCUGAUAAUGUGGAGACAUAUUGCUACAAUGCCCUCGGGGAGCCUGUCUGGAAUGCCAACAACAUUGAAUAUGAGUUUGAGCUGACCUUAAAACAUAAAGGAAUUUAUCGGAAUGGCAAAUACUUCUGCUGUGGAGAAAGAGAACAGUACUCUGUGUGCGUUUGUUCAGUGCCUGAUAAUUUCCACACUUGUGAUUCUGAGGAAAAAAUUGAUAAGGUUGACCGAAAAACAUUCUUUGAAUCAGUUACCAUAGAGACCACCUACUUUACACCGAACUCCAGAACUCAGCCUAGGCAAGCAAGAAUGAGAGCAUUACUCCUGGAACCACGUCAGACGCAGCUAAUUCCACCCCCUAUCAAGAUGCCUUCCCAAUCCAGACACCAUGGGAAGCGACUUUAUUUCACCUCCUCAUCGGUCACUCUAAAAACUGAAUUUGCUUUUAGCCUUCAUCAUCCUUGA